GACGCAGUGGCCAAGGGGCAAGGUGUCGGUCACGUAAAUCAAAGAGCAUGGGUUCGACCCCCAUCUAUGCCU